AGGAUGGUUUGCUAAAAUGGCUGUUCCCCGCACUCGUGAAGAGGAAAGGAAAAAUGCAGUAUAUAAAGCUUAUUUAGAGGCACUUGUCGUGCGGCAUUUAUUUAAAUCAGCU
rnacentral:miRNA from 1 species